CCUCGCCUAGGGUUACGGUUGCGCAAAAUCUAUAAGACGCCUCUUUGCUGUUCUUCCUCUAAUUUCUUCGCCGUCAAGUGGGAGAGAGACCGUGCUGCUGAUGGGCGAUUUCCAUAGGAAGCAGCUGCCGUAUUCCUUGUCUAGGGUUACGAUUUCAUGCCUCUUUGCUGUUCCUCAUCAUACUUCUCCAUGGCGCCGUCGCCGCCGACUCCACUAAGGUCCCUGAUCGCGGCUCGCCGUCUUCCAAUCUUUAUUGAUCUCUUCCAUACUCGAAUCAUGCUGCACUUCUUCCUCUAAUUUGUACGCCGACAAGUGAAAGAGGGUACCGCGCUGCUGAUGGGCGACGAAUCCUGCACCUAUUUCGAUAGGAAGCAGCUGCCACAUUCCUUGUCUAGGGUUACGAUUUCGCCUCAAAUCUGUAGGAUGCCUCUUUGCUGUUCCUCAUCAUACUUCUCCAUGGCACCGUCGCCGCCGCCGACUCCACUAAGGUCACUGAUCGCGGCUCGCCGUCUAGCAAUCCAUAUCGAUUUUCUCCAUACCUGAAUCAUGCUGCUCUUCUUCCUCUAAUUUCUACGCCGACAAGUGGAAGAUUGAACUGCGCUGCUUUUGGCCGAUGAAUCCUGCGUCUAUUUCGAUAGAUGUCGAGAUCGCCGGAGGCGAUCGGAGGUUUGUUGACGGCGCUUUUUGAGGCUGUGAAAUCGAGGCAAGCCGGAGAGAUGUUCUUCGAAGUGUCGAAGAUGUCGCCGUCUCCGGCGAUCUUAGUAAUUAAUUAAGAAAUAAAUUUUGAUUUUGCUUUGGGUCUCAAAUUAAAAUUUUAAUUAAUAUUAUUUUUUUGAAAAAUAUUCAAACAAGUAGGAUUGUCAUUUGUCAAUCAGUUGGAUCUAAUUUAAAUAUCUUACUCUUAAA